AUUGAACGCUGGCGGCAUGCCUUACACAUGCAAGUCGAACGGUAACGCGGGGCAACCUGGCGACGAGUGGCGAACGGGUGAGUAAUGCAUCGGAACGUGCCCAGAAGUGGGGGAUAGCCCGGCGAAAGCCGGAUUAAUACCGCAUGAGACCUGAGGGUGAAAGCGGGGGAUCGCAAGACCUCGCGCUUUUGGAGCGGCCGAUGUCAGAUUAGCUAGUUGGUGGGGUAAAGGCCUACCAAGGCGACGAUCUGUAGCUGGUCUGAGAGGACGACCAGCCACAAGGGGACGGAGACAAGGGCCAGACCCCCAAGGGAGGGAGGAGGGGGGAAAUUUGGGAAAAGGGGGGAAGCCUGAUCCCGCCAUGGCCGGGGUGGGAAAGAGGGCUUUGGGGUGGAAAACCGUUUUUGUCGGGAAAAAAACCCUUUGGGUAAAACCCCGGGGUUAAGGCGGGAACCAGAAAAUAAGGACCGGCUAAACUCGUG
rnacentral:rRNA from 1 species